CGCUCUGUGAAGUAAUUUUUAUACGGAGUCGUACCUGCCCGGUGGAAAUCUAAACGGCUGCGGUACCCUGACCGUGCAAAGGUAGCAUAAUCACUUGCCUUUUAAUUGGUGGCUGGAAUGAAAGGUUUGUCAAUACUUCAGCUGUCUCCUGGGGGUUUUCUCGAAUUUAAGAAACAGGGGAAGGAGCCUGUAUUCGAUUAAAGGACGAGAAGACCCUAUAAAGCUAGCUGUUAUAUAAGCUAAGUGUUUAUAUACAGAUUGAUUGGGGCAAUCAGGGAAUAAGAAAAACUUCCCUCUCCAAGAAUAAAUAUUAGAACCAUAUUUACUUAUGAACUUAGGAUAGCUACUUUAGGGAUAACAGCACCAUUUCCUUUGAGAGACCUUAUUAAAAAGGAAGAUUGUGACCUCGAUGUUGGACUAAAGGAGCUUGGUGGAGCAGUAG
rnacentral:rRNA from 1 species